GAUGAACGCUAGCGGCAGGCUUAACACAUGCAAGUCGAGGGGUAUAGUUCUUCGGAACUAGAGACCGGCGCACGGGUGCGUAACGCGUAUGUAAUCUACCUUUUACAGGGGGAUAGCCCAGAGAAAUUUGGAUUAAUACCCCAUAGUAUGUUGUGGAGGCAUCACUAUAACAUUAAAGUUCCAACGGUAAAAGAUGAGCAUGCGUCCCAUUAGCUAGAUGGUAAGGUAACGGCUUACCAUGGCUACGAUGGGUAGGGGUCCUGAGAGGGAGAUCCCCCACACUGGUACGGAGACACGGACCAGACUCCGACGGGAGGCAGCAGUGAGGAAUAUUGGACAAUGGGCGCAAGCCUGAUCCAGCCAUGCCGCGUGCAGGAUGACGGUCCUAUGGAUUGUAAACUGCUUUUGUACAGGAAGAAACACUCCCUCGUGAGGGAGCUUGACGGUACUGUAAGAAUAAGGAUCGGCUAACUCCGUGCCAGCCGCCGCCGUAA
rnacentral:rRNA from 1 species